CUUAGGUGCUCUCACGUCUUGAAAAAUAAACUUUUAAAUUAGAAAUGUCAGUGAUUUUUUUUUCCAUAUUGCCUCUGAUUUUAGCAUAUUAUAGAAAAUAUAGUUACUAACAAUACACCAGAAAAAGAACCUUAUCUACAUUUGAUAUUGUCUCCACUUUACUGCCCAAGUUUCUUUCCCAUUCUGCUUCAUUUUUUUCACAGAAUGUCAUCCUUGGUUCCAUUGUUGAAUUUGAUCUGCCACACUUCUUGAAGCUUUUGAUGGUCCUCUCAGAUGAGGUCCCAUUCCCUGCCCAUGCUCUUCAUUUCCAUAAUAAGCCCGC
rnacentral:lncRNA from 1 species